GCAUUCCCUCAUCCUGACCUGAACCCCAAACAGACGAGACAAGACGUCCUCACAACAAUGGUUUAGAACCAAAACUUGUCCACAGAAAGAUGUAUUCAUCAAGCAGCUGAUCACCAAUCAGAGACAAGCAGGCAGGUGAUGCUGUGAUGAUGUCACACAGGUGCUGCAGAGCCCUCUUGUCAUCCUCCAGCUGUCGCUUCUUGUUCUCGAUCUCCGUCUGCCACUUCCUCUUCUCCUGAGGCAUGAUGGGAAGUGUAGUCAGGUGCACAGAAACAGUUUCAUCGCCUCCACUCU